rnacentral:lncRNA from 1 species
ACAAUAACCAGGACUUCCAGGAGUGGAUGGAGCAGCUGAACAGACUGACCAAAGGACCAGCCUCCUGCAGUUCAUUGUCUAAGACCUCCUCAUCAUCAUGUAGUACUCAUUCUGAAUCUAGUAAGAGCCCCAAAACGAUGAAGAAGUUUCUUCACAAAAGAAAGACGGAGAGAAAGACAUCCGAGGAAGAAUACGUGAUUAGGAAAAGUACUGCUGCCCUGGAAGAGGAUGCUCAGAUUCUUAAGGUGAUUGAAGCUUAUUGCACCAGCGCCAGUUUUCAACAAGGUACUCGUAAAGAUUCAGUUCCACAAGUACUCCUCCCCGAGGAAGAGAAACUCAUUAUUGAAGAAACUAGAAGUAAUGGGCAGACCAUCAUUGAAGAGAAG